rnacentral:rRNA from 1 species
CCUACGGGCGACUGCAGUGAGGAAUAUUGGUCAAUGGCCGUAAGGCUGAACCAGCCAAGUAGCGUGAAGGAAGAAGGAUCUAUGGUUUGUAAACUUCUUUUAUGGGGGAAUAAAGGUAUCCACGUGUGGCUAUUUGCAUGUACCCUAUGAAUAAGCAUCGGCUAACUCCGUGCCAGCAGCCGCGGUAAUACGGAGGAUGCGAGCGUUAUCCGGAUUUAUUGGGUUUAAAGGGUGCGUAGGUUGUUUUUUAAGUCAGCGGUGAAAGUCUGUGGCUCAACCAUAACAUUGCCGUUGAAACUGGAAGACUUGAGUGUGCUUGAGGUAGGCGGAAUGCGUGGUGUAGCGGUGAAAUGCAUAGAUAUCACGCAGAACUCCGAUUGCGAAGGCAGCUUACUAAGGCAUAACUGACACUGAAGCACGAAAGCGUGGGGAUCAAACAGGAUUAGAUACCCCGGUAGUC